rnacentral:rRNA from 1 species
UACGUAGGGUGCAAGCGUUAAUCGGAAUUACUGGGCGUAAAGCGUGCGCAGGCGGCUUUGCAAGACAGAUGUGAAAUCCCCGGGCUUAACCUGGGAACUGCAUUUGUGACUGCAAGGCUAGAGUACGGCAGAGGGGGAUGGAAUUCCGCGUGUAGCAGUGAAAUGCGUAGAUAUGCGGAGGAACACCAAUGGCGAAGGCAAUCCCCUGGGCCUGUACUGACGCUCAUGCACGAAAGCGUGGGGAGCAAACAGG